GGGGGCGAAAUAGGUUCGACGGGGGGUGUAAAGGAUGACCUUUCGCUCGGCAUGGUUCCGCCGUCAUCGGGCCGAUUUUAUAGUUGCCAACGACAACUAUGCUCCGGUGGCCGUUGCCGCGUAAUGCGGUAAUAGUACCGAUUCAAAGCCCUUGUGGGUAGCACUUCAAGGCGGGGUUCGGAGGCACCUGGCAACAGAAGCCUCCACU
rnacentral:tmRNA from 1 species